rnacentral:ncRNA from 1 species
AAAAGACUUAGUCCUAACCUUACCGUUAGUUCUUGCUAGAUUUAUACAUGCAAGUAUCCGCGUCCCAGUGUAAAUGCCCUUACCUCUUACCAAGACAAAAGGAGCAGGCAUCAGGCACGCCUUAAAACAUCGCAGCCCAAGACGCCUUGCUUGGCCACACCUCCACGGGUAUUCAGCAGUAAUUAACAUUAAGCGAUAAGUGUAAACUUGACUUAGUCAUGGCAACUAUUUAGGGCUGGUAAAUCUUGUGCCAGCCACCGCGGUCACACAAGAAGCCCAAACUAACUGUAAUACGGCGUAAAGAGUGGUGUAUGCACUAUCACUACAUCUAGAAUCAAAGUGUAUCUAAGCUGUCAUAAGCUCAAGCUACAUCUAAGACCCCCAUUAAAAUUAUUCUAGUAGACCAGGAUAGACCAGAUCCACCAAAGCUAGGGCACAAACUGGGAUUAGAUACCCCACUAUGCCUAGCCCUAAAUCUUGAUGUUUGACUCUACCAAAACAUCCGCCUGAGAACUACGAGCACAAACGCUUAAAACUCUAAGGACUUGGCGGUGCCCCAAACCCACCUAGAGGAGCCUGUUCUAUAAUCGAUACUCCACGCUACACCCAACCGCCUCUAGCCCAAAGCAGCCUACAUACCGCCGUCGUCAGCCUACCUCUACUGAGAGUUCAGCAGUGAGCACAAUAGCCUUACCCGCUAACAAGACAGGUCAAGGUAUAGCUUAUGGGGCGGAAGAAAUGGGCUACAUUUUCUACUCAUAGAAUACACGAAAAGAGGCAUGAAAAUGCCUCUAGAAGGUGGAUUUAGCAGUAAAGAAGAGUAAUAAAAUCUCCUUUAAAUCGGCCCUGGGGUACGUACAUACCGCCCGUCACCCUCCUCAAAUGCCUCAAAUUUCCAUAACUAAUAUGUUCUAGAGCUAAAGAUGAGGUAAGUCGUAACAAGGUAAGUGUACCGGAAGGUGUACUUAGCAUAUC